CUGUCUUCUCUUGUUCCCAGACAGUAGUGACACCCAUCUCUAUCCUUCCUGCUCCUCGCUGGACCUCUGUAGCCGCCAUCAGCAUCUGUCACAACAGGCAUCCCUUAUGGCCCCUCCCUGGCUCAACCACAGGGUUAUCUUAGGGUGCCACAACCACCCUGCUGACAUCAGCCUUGUCUAUACUGUGCUGACCCUGGGAACAAGCACCUUCAGGAAGUGUGGCUUCCAAGCCACAGGGUGGCCAUGACUGCCAACAGGAGGGCAUGGGUGGCGUCCUCCACAGGAGCCUCCAACAAGGGAGAAUUGUAGAGCAACAGAAACAAAGUGUUUGCCGGUACAGCACACAGAAAUCUCAGACAUCCCAAGCACCGCUGACCUGAGAAGAGCGGGGACCAGCCUCUGGCAGGGACUCUGAUCACAAAGAUGAGACAAGACAGUCGAGCCUGCUCCCACCAAGCCUGCACGUCUCCACAUAUUCACUAUGACAGCCACAGCGAGGACUCUUCAGAGCCCAGGAAACAGCUCCAACCCACACCAAUGGGACAAGGAACAAGACAGAACGGGUGGGUUGACACCCCCAAAGCCUGAUCCUCCCCCUGGCUGUCUCUAUUGAGGAAACUCCCCAAGGCAAGGUUUUGGUCAGUCAGCUGAGACCAGGCACUUGGCCAGCAUUCAGACUCGCGCUCUGGCUCUGGGCAGCCAGUCAGCUGUCUCUACAGCCUACUUCCUCUUCAAAGCAGCUCCUCACCCAGCAUGAAUGCCUCUCCAAGGGUGGUAGCCACCACAGCACCUCAGCACUCUGGGGCCAAGGGAAGACCUCACACUACACAGUCCCAAUCUCUGAUUGCUUCAGGAAACAAAGGCUUGAUUCCCCACCCCCAUCUCUCCCUCUCCCUCUCUCUUCAUGGUAUCAGUAUCCCAGUCUGGCUUGGAAUUUAAUACGCAAUUGAGGGUAACCUUGAACUUCGGCCCUCCCCCACUGGUGCUAGCAUUACAGACAUGCCAGGUCUAUGCCACAGAGAGUUUAACCUGGGGCUGUGCAUGCUGGGAAGAAUCCCACCAUCACGCCACUCCUGCAGCAGGGUAGUUGCUCUCCAUAUUUUAACAGCAAUGACACAAUCUGUGUACAGUGAUUGGCGCCUGUAAUCCCAGCACCCAGGAGCCUGAGGCUGGAAGUUAAUUGAGUUCAAGGCCAGCCUGGGUUACACAGUAAAUCUGAGGUCAACCUAGGCUACUCAGAAAGACCCUGUCUCAAAAUAAAAUAAAACGUAAAACUGCUGGGUGAACCGGGCGGUGGUAGUGCACAUCCUCAAUCCCAGAAUUUGGGAGGCAGAGGCAGGAGAAUCUCCUGAGUUCAAGGUCAGCCCAGUCUACAGACUGAGUUCCAUGACAACCAGGACUACACAGAGAAUAACAACAACAACAACAACUUAAAAAAUAGUAACAGUACCCUGCUUUCUUGCUUUUGUCAGCUCACAUUUCCGGCCCCCCCAUAGCAUAUCCCUUCAGAGCAGCGGUUCUCAACCUUCCUAACACUGCGACCUCACAAUCCAGUUCCUCACGUCGUGGUAACCCCAGACCAUAAAAUGAUUUUCAUCGCUAUUUCAUAACCAGGAUUUUGCUACAGUUAUGAAUUGUAAUAUAAAUAUCUGAUAUUUCUGAUGGACUUAGGCAACCCCUGUGAAAGGGUCCUUCCGUGCCCAGAGGGGUCUGCUGCACAUGCUGAGGACCAUGGCUCUAGGGGAGCCUGGGUGUCUCACCAGAGCCUGGCCUCGUGUGCAAACCUUUUCUGUCUCCAGCUGCACUCUCGCCUCCCACCCCAGCAGAGGCUCCCCCAUGUGCCUGAUAUAAGUAAUACCCUUCCACUCAGGGGUGCAGCCCCCUCCCUGACUCCGAAUAAGCGGCCAAGGUAUCCAGAGAGUCCCACAGUACCCUGGCUUCCUAUCUGCACGAAGUUCCCGACAACUUCCUCUGGUUUCAUGCGGAUGACCCAUCUGCUGGGUGAGUACUGCUUCUCCAGCUCCUGUGGGCAAGACAGACCCUGUGAGACCCUCCCCUCUCAGGGGGUGUGUCGACCCCGCCCGUGAUGGCUGAACCUCUCUAUUUUUAUGCUCUGAGAAGACCCUCUAAGGCACACAAAUUUCUAUUAUUAUUAUUAUUAUUUUGGUUUUUUUUCGAGAUAGGGUUUCUCUGUAUAGCUCUGGCUGUCCUGGAACUCACUCAGUAGACCAGGCUGGCCUCCCAGAGUGCUGGGAUUACAGGCGUGUGCUACCACUGCCCGGCGGCACACAACUUUCUACAAGACCUUUCAACUCCCACUCCCCGCUCCCUCCACUAGCUGCCCCAUUAGGUAUUUCAGCAGAGCAUCUAGUGCCCUCAAAAAGGUGUCAGAAGGGUUCCCUAGCAGCAACCGUGCCUUUAGCCAGCUAACAGCCUUCAUGAGACACGAGGUCUGUAAAUGGUACUGGGGGGGGGCACAUUCCUGACACCACAGGACACAGUGAGGCAGCUGUGGCCAUUAGCAAGAUCACGUGACAUAAGCUGUUUUCCUGGCGGACACAUACAGGGUCGCAGGGACAGAGGAAAGGAAGGAGAAGUCAAAGGUCAGUUUACAGAUAUUGCUCAGCCAGAUGGCUGAUGCAGGAGGCUGUGUGGCCAGCGUGUGGCAAAACACAGCUGUAAUCCCAGCUCUCUGUGGAGUCGGAGGGAGGCAGAGGCAGGAGGACAGCCUAGAGCCAAGCAGGUUCCCGAAUAGCCAGGGCUACAGAGUGAGGCUCUGUUCACAAGGAAACGAAA